rnacentral:snRNA from 1 species
UUUGCUUCUUGGCCUUUUGGCUAAAAUCCAGUGUAGUAUCUGUUCUUAUCAGUUUAAUUCUUGAAAAUAUGUGUGCCUUUGAUAUGAUGAAUAACUUUUAAAUACUAAGAAUCUUA